UACUGACUGGUAGGUGGAGGGGUGCCCAAUAUCAUACUGACUGGUAGGUGGAGGGGUGCCCAAUAUCAUACUGACUGGUAGGUGGAGGGGUGCCCAAUAUCAUACUGACUGGUAGAUGGAGGGGUGCCCAAUAUCAUACUGACUGGUAGAUGGAGGGGUGCCCAAUAUCAUACUGACUGGUAGGUGGAGGGGUGCCCAAUAUCAUACUGACUGGUAGGUGGAGGGGUGCCCAAUAUCAUACUGACUGGUAGGUGGAGGGGUGCCCAAUAUCAUACUGACUGGUAGGUGGAGGGGUGCCCAAUAUCAUACUGACUGGUAGAUGGAGGGGUGCCCAAUAUCAUACUGACUGGUAGGUGGAGGGGUGCCCAAUAUCAUACUGACUGGUAGGUGGAGGGGUGCCCAAUAUCAUACUGACUGGUAGAUGGAGGGGUGCCCAAUAUCAUACUGACUGGUAGAUGGAGGGGUGCCCAAUAUCAUACUGACUGGUAGAUGGAGGGGUGCCCAAUAUCAUACUGACUGGUAGGUGGAGGGGUGCCCAAUAUCAUACUGACUGGUAGGUGGAGGGGUGCCCAAUAUCAUACUGACUGGUAGGUGGAGGGGUGCCCAAUAUCAUACUGACUGGUAGAUGGAGGGGUGCCCAAUAUCAUACUGACUGGUAGAUGGAGGGGUGCCCAAUAUCAUACUGACUGGUAGGUGGAGGGGUGCCCAAUAUCAUACUGACUGGUAGGUGGAGGGGUGCCCAAUAUCAUACUGACUGGUAGAUGGAGGGGUGCCCAAUAUCAUACUGACUGGUAGAUGGAGGGGUGCCCAAUAUCAUACUGACUGGUAGGUGGAGGGGUGCCCAAUAUCAUACUGACUGGUAGAUGGAGGGGUGCCCAAUAUCAUAAUGACUGGUAGAUGGAGGGGUGCCCAAUAUCAUACUGACUGGUAGGUGGAGGGGUGCCCAAUUUCAUACUGACUGGUAGGUGGAGGGGUGUCCAAUAUCAUACUGACUGGUAGGUGGAGGGGUGCCCAAUAUCAUACUGACUGGUAGGUGGAGGGGUGCCCAAUAUCAUACUGACUGGUAGAUGGAGGGGUGUCCAAUAUCAUACUGACUAUUAGAUUGAGGGGUGUCCAAUAUCAUACUGACUAUUAGAUUGAGGGGUGCCCAAUAUCAUACUGACUAUUAGAUUGAGGGGUGCCCAAUAUCAUACUGACUGGUAGAUGGAGGGGUGCCCAAUAUCAUACUGACUAUUAGAUUGAGGGGUGUCCAAUAUCAUACUGACUAUUAGAUUGAGGGGUGUCCAAUAUCAUACUGAC